UGGCGUUUUGGUGAUUUGUUUGAAUCAAAUAAUCUUUUAGUUUUACUAUUCAUUUUUUCAUUUUUUAAUUUACCGAGUCAUUUUCUUGUUAUUAUCUUUUACAGUAGCUGUUAUAACAACCUCUAGAUCUAUAGUAUAUAAGCCCCACACAUGGCUGCAUGGACCCAAAAAGAAAAAGCAAUUAGUUUUAUUGUAAAUGAUAAAAAGCAAUUGUAGAGCAGUCUGUUGUUUGGUGAUGUUUGCUCUAUCAGCGACAAUCUACUAUCACAUAUACAGCGAAUGCUUUUUCUCCAGAAAGCUACUUACACAUUUGAAUGUUGAGUAUUCCCACAUAUGUAGUAUCUUGUAUGUGCUGUAUCCAUAUGAGCAGUAAAUUUCAUUGGUUUGUUAUAGAUUUGACAUGGUAUCGCCGUUGCAAUGAAUAUUUUUUCUAAUGAAAUAUAAAGGCUUUCAUUGGUUUGUUAUAGAUUUGACGUGGUAUCAUCAUUGCAACAAAUAUUUUUUCCCAUACGAGUGGUGUUACAGGGUAAUUGCAUCAAGUUUUUUGAUAUGCUAGGAUUUUUUCUGAUGCUAAACACAACCUGAUGAGUCCCAAAAGGACAAAUUAAAGUAA
rnacentral:lncRNA from 1 species